UUAAAUAGAAAUGUCAUGUCAACUGGGUUAUGAGAGGAUAAUAUCAUAGCAUACAUGGGUUAGACCAGUUUUAAUUUAACAUCACACGCUUACAUGUUUACAGUACUGACUAUGAAAAUUGGAUGAAAAAUACAGUAUUCUCAAAACAUCUUCUCUCCCUCUCCCACCUCAGCAAAAAAGGCCCAAACCGAUUUGAUUUUGGACAAAUUUUCAUUUAUGCUGCCGCCUUUCUGCAAAAAGAUACAGCUUCUGGCUUACAGAGAAUCACCCACUGGAGAAUCUGGUUUACAGAGAAUCACACAUCAUCUCGAGCUGUGAGAGAUGGAUGAUGGUAAUAUGUGGAAGACACUAGCACAAGACCUCAGGCCUAGAAAUAGAACUUUAUUGCACAUACUGCAUCUUGGUCAUAUUAUCUAAAUACUUGAAC
rnacentral:lncRNA from 12 species